rnacentral:rRNA from 1 species
AACGCUAGCUACAGGCUUAACACAUGCAAGUCGAGGGGAAACGACAUCGAAAGCUUGCUUUUGAUGGGCGUCGACCGGCGCACGGGUGAGUAACGCGUAUCCAACCUGCCCACCACUUGGGGAUAACCUUGCGAAAGUAAGACUAAUACCCAAUGAUAUCCCACGAAGGCAUCGGAAUGGGAUUAAAGAUUUAUCGGUGAUGGAUGGGGAUGCGUCUGAUUAGCUUGUUGGCGGGGUAACGGCCCACCAAGGCAACGAUCAGUAGGGGUUCUGAGAGGAAGGUCCCCCACAUUGGAACUGAGACACGGUCCAAACUCCUACGGGAGGCAGCAGUGAGGAAUAUUGGUCAAUGGGCGAGAGCCUGAACCAGCCAAGUAGCGUGCAGGAUGGCGGCCCUAUGGGUUGUAAACUGCUUUUAUAAGGGAAUAAAGUGGGUCUCGUGAGACUUUUUGCAUGUACCUUAUGAAUAAGGACCGGCUAAUUCCGUGCCAGCAGCCGCGGUAAUACGGAAGGUCCGGGCGUUAUCCGGAUUUAUUGGGUUUAAAGGGAGCGUAGGCCGGAGAUUAAGCGUGCUGUGAAAUGUAGUGGCUCAACCUCUGCACUGCAGCGCGAACUGGUCUUCUUGAGUACGCACAACGUGGGCGGAAUUCGUGGUGUAGCGGUGAAAUGCUUAGAUAUCACGAAGAACUCCGAUUG